rnacentral:rRNA from 1 species
CCUACGGGGCGCUGCAGUGGGGGAUAUUGCACAAUGGGGGGAACCCUGAUGCAGCGACGCCGCGUGGGUGAAGGAGCGUUUCGGCGCGUAAAGCCCUAUCGGCAGGGAAGAAGAUGACGGUACCUGCCCAAGAAGCCCCGGCUAACUACGUGCCAGCCGCCGCGGUCAUACGUAGGGGGCAAGCGUUAUCCGGAUUUACUGGGUGUAAAGGGGGCGCAGACGGCAAUGCAAGCCAGGAGUGAAAGCCCGGGGCCCAACCCCGGGACUGCUCUUGGAACUGCAUGGCUGGAGUACAGGAGGGGCAGGCGGAAUUCCUGGUGUAGCGGUGGAAUGCGUAGAUAUUAGGAGGAACACCGGUGGCGAAGGCGGGCUGCUGGACUGUGACUGACGUUGAGGCCCGAAGGCGUGGGGAGCAAACAGGAUUAGAUACCCUUGUAGUC